rnacentral:rRNA from 1 species
CCGGCGACCGGCGCACGGGUGAGUAACACGUAUGCAACCUGCCCUCUUCAGGGGGACAACCUUCCGAAAGGGAGGCUAAUCCCGCGUAUAUCGGUUUCGGGCAUCCGAGAUCGAGGAAAGAUUCAUCGGAAGAGGAUGGGCAUGCGGCGCAUUAGCUAGACGGCGGGGUAACGGCCCACCGUGGCGACGAUGCGUAGGGGUUCUGAGAGGAAGGUCCCCCACACUGGUACUGAGACACGGACCAGACUCCUACGGAAGGCAGCAG